CUGAAAACAACCUGAUAUCGAGCCCCCUCUUCUUUUUUCUUUGUCUGCAAUGGAGCUUUCGCAAUGUGCCGCGCAAGCGAUCUCAAAGUUCACCGACGACUUGGUGAGCAUUGAUCGUAAGUGUGAUGAAGAGGCAACUGCCCUGCGCCUCGAGUACCGCAGCAAGAUGGAGCCUCUCCUGAUGGAGCGCCGUGAGCUUCUCAAGGGUGUCACCAACUUUUGGUCCGGUGUGCUAUCGUCUCCUGAGACACCGAUCGCAACGCUGCUGAACGGCACCAUUGAUCCUAAGAUUAUUCGCGCUGUCACAGAUUUUCAAGUAGUGACCCGUAUCAGCGAGAAUAAGCUCUACCGGAAGAUCAUCUUUACCUUCCGUCAGAACAUGUUUGUCGAGGAGGGCGAGGUCUCACGAGAGGUUGACACGGACAUGAAAACGACCUCUCUGCAUCCAGUCAAGUGGAAGUCUGGCACUGAGCGCGCGCGCACCGACUCGUUUUUUGCCUUCUUCACAGAGAACUUUUCUUCAGAUCCAGAGGCUGUGAUGGAGGUCACCGAGGCUCUCGACACCAUUUAUCAGGACCCGUUCCUGGCGGUCGAGGCGGACUAAACGCUGCGAUACGGCACUAAACAUCAUGAGAGGAAGGUUAACGCAAGAAGGGUAAAAAAACAAAAGGCGAGUUUUCCUCUUGCUGUCUCAGCGAGGAUAUGCUAAAAAGUCUGGAACCCUAUCACCUUAGAUGUUUGUAAGGCAACAAGUGUACAAGGAACUUGGCCGACAGCACUUUGUGAGCAGGUAGCGGUCAGCAGCUGCUCUUGAUCACUUUGCCUUUCCCUGUAUAUAGGCUCGCUUAGCUUUUCAUCUCAACUGUUGUAUAUGCUCUGCGCUUUUCAAUUUUCUGUUGCUUCUCAUUGAGCGAGGAAAAG
rnacentral:misc_RNA from 1 species